GAGUCCCGUAUAUGGCACGGACUCCCGUUGCUCUGCGAUACACUCUCGACGAGUCGAGUUGUUUGGGAAUGCAGCUCUAAAUGGGUGGUAAAUGCCAUCUAAAGCUAAAUAUUGGCGAGAGACCGAUAGCGAACAAGUACCGUGAGGGAAAGAUGAAAAGCACUUUGGAAAGAGAGUGAAACAGUACGUGAAAUUGUUGAAAGGGAAACGCUUGAAGUCAGUCGCGCCGUUCGGGAUUCAGCCUUGCUUCUGCUCGGUUUACUUCCCGUUGGGUGGGUCAACAUCAGUUUCGGUCGGAGGAGAAAGGCUCGGGGAAGGUGGCAGCAUUCGUGCUGUGUUAUAGCCCCUUGUUGUAUACUUCGACUGGGACUGAGGACCGCAGCACGCCUUUGGCCGGGGUUCGCCCACGUACGUGCUUAGGAUGUUGGCAUAAUGGCUUUAAGCGACCCGUCUUGAAACACGGACCAAGGAGUCUAACAUGUGCGCGAGUGUUUGGGUGUUAAACUCGGACGCGAAAUGAAAGUGAAAAGUUGGGAACACUUCUGUGUGCACCGACGCCCGGAGCUGACCUUUUGUGACGCAUCUGCGGUAGAGCGUAUAUGUUGGGACCCGAAAGAUGGUGAACUAUGCCUGAAUAGGGUGAAGCCAGAGGAAACUCUGGUGGAGGCUCGUAGCGAUUCUGACGUGCAAAUCGAUCGUCAAAUUUGGGUAUAGGGGCGAAAGACUAAUCGAACCAUCUAGUAGCUGGUUCCUGCC
rnacentral:rRNA from 1 species